rnacentral:rRNA from 1 species
ACGUAGGUGGCAAGCGUUGUCCGGAUUUAUUGGGCGUAAAGCGAGCGCAGGCGGUUUCUUAAGUCUGAUGUGAAAGCCUUCGGCUCAACCGAAGAAGUGCAUCGGAAACUGGGAAACUUGAGUGCAGAAGAGGACAGUGGAACUCCAUGUGUAGCGGUGAAAUGCGUAGAUAUAUGGAAGAACACCAGUGGCGAAGGCGGCUGUCUGGUCUGUAACUGACGCUGAGGCUCGAAAGCAUGGGUAGCAAACAGG